rnacentral:rRNA from 1 species
CAGGGCUUGACAUGGGAGGGCCGUGUCCAGAGAUGGGCAUUUCNCGCAAGGACCCUCUGCACAGGUGCUGCAUGGCUGUCGUCAGCUCGUGUCGUGAGAUGUUGGGUUAAGUCCCGCAACGAGCGCAACCCUCGCCUUCAGUUGCCAUCAGGUUUGGCUGGGCACUCUGAAGGAACUGCCGGUGACAAACCGGAGGAAGGUGGGGAUGACGUCAAAUCAUCAUGCCCCUUAUGACCUGGGCUACACACGUGCUACAAUGGAUGGAACAAAGGGGAGCAAAACCGCGAGGUCAAGCAAAUCCCAUAAAACCAUUCUCAGUUCGGAUUGCAGGCUGCAACUCGCCUGCAUGAAGCCGGAAUCGCUAGUAAUCGUGGAUCAGCAUGCCACGGUGAAUACGUUCCC